CCUACGGGGGGCAGCAGUAGGGAAUAUUGCUCAAUGGGGGAAACCCUGACGCAGCAACGCCGCGUGGAGGAUGAAGGUUUUCGGAUUGUAAACUUCUUUUGUUAGAGAAGAAAAUGACGGUGUCUAACGAAGAAGAACCGGCUAACUCCGUGCCAGCAGCCGCGGUAAUACGGAGGGUGCAAGCGGUAUUCGUAAUCACUGGGCGUAAAGAGCGAGUAGGCGGGAUAGCAAGUCAGAUGUGAAAUCCUAGGGCUUAACCAUAGAACUGCAUUUGAAACUGUUAUUCUAGAGUAUGGGAGAGGUAGGUGGAAUUCUUGGUGUAGGGGUAAAAUGCGUAGAGAUCAAGAGGAAUACUCAUUGCGAAGGCGAUCUGCUAGACCGUAACUGACGCUGAUGCGCGAAAGCGUGGGGAGCAAACAGGAGUAGAUACCCUUGUAGUC
rnacentral:rRNA from 1 species